CCCUUAGAUGUUCUGGGCCGCACGCGCGCUACACUGUUCGACGCAGCGAGUCUUAACCUUGACCGAAAGGUUUGGGUAAUCUUCAGCAAAGUCGAACGUGAUGGGGAUCGAUCAUUGCAAUUAUUGAUCGUGAACGAGGAAUUCCUAGUAGGCGCAAGUCAUCAGCUUGCGUCGAUUACGUCCCUGCCCUUUGUACACACCGCCCGUCGCUCCUACCGAUUGGGUGUGCUGGUGAAAUGUUCGGAUCGGCCGUUUGUCGCGGUUUCCGCGUCAUGUGGCUGAGAAGUUCAUUAAACCCUCCCACCUAGAGGAAGGAGAAGUCGUAACA
rnacentral:rRNA from 1 species